GGGGGCGACCUGGCUUCGACGUGGGUUGCGAAACCUGAAGUGCAUGCCGAGAAUGAGAUCUCUCGUAAAUAAGGCUCACUAAAUAUAAAUGCAAAUGAUGAAAACUUUGCUGGUGUUGAGGGAGAAGCUAUCGCUGCGUAAGCAUUGAUGGUUUUACCAAAAACAUCACUGUGCGCUGCCAAAAACCAGCGCCCCGUUGACCGAGCUCGCUUGUCGGUAUCGAAUCAACGGUCAUAGAAGAUAAGCUAGUCUUUUGAUUUGUCCCGCAUCAAAGGGCGAAAUUCAGGGAAUCGCCGUGUAUCAUCCUGCCAGUCGGAGGGUCCACGGUCAGAAUAAUAGACCAGGCUAAGCAUGUAGAGCUGAUGGCAGAGGAUUUGCGGACGCGGGUUCGAUUCCCGCCGCCUCCACCA
rnacentral:tmRNA from 2 species